UACCAGCACCCCGAGUGGUCGGGACGAUUAUUGGGCCUAAAGCAUCCGUAGCCGGUUCUACAAGUCUUCCGUUAAAUCCACCUGCUCAACAGAUGGGCUGCGGAGGAUACUAUAGAGCUAGGAGGCGGGAGAGGCAAGCGGUACCUAGUGGGUAGGGGUAAAAUCCGUUGAUCCAUUGAAGACCACCAGUGGCGAAGGCGGCUUGCCAGAACGCGCUCGACGGUGAGGGAUGAAAGCUGGGGGAGCAAACCGG
rnacentral:rRNA from 1 species